rfam:Erinaceus europaeus unplaced genomic scaffold scaffold00324, whole genome shotgun sequence
GUCUACAGCCAUACCACCCUGAACACACCCGAUCUCGUCUGAUCUCAGAAGCUAAGUAGGGUCAGGUCUGGUUAGUACCUGGAUGGGAAACAAGAAAAGAAACGGGAAACACAAGAUAAAAGUUGGAC